GCAGCCGCGGUAAUUCCAGCUCCAAUAGCGUAUAUUAAAGUUGUUGCAGUUAAAAAGCUCGUAGUUGAAUUUCGGGAUCAAUAUGUUGGUCGUGCCUUUGGUACGUACUAGCUUAUUGAUUUCUCCCUUCUGACGAACCAUGAUGUCAUUAAUUUGGUGUCAUGGGGAAUCAGGACUGUUACUUUGAAAAAAUUAGAGUGUUUAAAGCAGGCUUACGCUUGAAUAUAUUAGCAUGGAAUAAUGAAAUAGGACGUUUUGAUUCUAUUUUGUUGGUUUCUAGGAUCGACGUAAUGAUUAAUAGGGAUAGUUGGGGGCAUUAGUAUUCAAUUGUCAGAGGUGAAAUUCUUGGAUUUAUUGAAGACUAACUACUGCGAAAGCAUUUGCCAAGGAUGUUUUCAUUAAUCAAGAACGAAAGUUAGGGGAUCGAAGACGAUCAGAUACCGUCGUAGUCUUAACCAUAAACUAUGCCGACUAGGGAUCGGAUGAUGUUAAUUUUUUAAUGACUCAUUCGGCGCCUUACG
rnacentral:misc_RNA from 1 species